UGUGUAUAUAUGUAUAUGUAUAUAUGUCUAUGUAUGUAUGUAUGUAUGUGUAUAUAUAUAUAUGUAAAUAUCCAUAAGGAUAAUCAUAAAACUUAGCUCUUUAUUCAAACGUUUAACUAGACUUUACAGUGUUACAGUCUGGAAAUAAAGCAGGGAUCACAGCCUGAUCUGAAUCUGUUCAUCUUGGUCCAUUUAUGUAAAACGAGUCUGUAACAUCUCCACAGUAACAAUAAGAUAUAAGUCAACCUCUGAAAGUCUAACGUUUGAAAGUGAAGCUUUUAACGCUUUACUUCCAAAGGCAUCAAGCUGAGAAUUACCAACGUAUUUUACCUCGAAAUAUAUGACUAUGUUUUACUGUAUAUACUAUAUAUACCUUCCUUCCAAGCAGAGAGAUAUUUUGCAAAUAUUACUGCAAAAGUGGGUCCUCAGUUAUUAGUAUACAGAGAAAAUGGACUGAUUCACUCGUGAUAUUAACCCUCCACCUCCGCCAAUAGUAGCUCAGACAUUUCAAACUAAGAUAAAACUUUAUCUACAAAACAGAUCAAAGUGAGCCACAAGUCCACAUCUGAACAGCAUUUUAGAAAGAAAAAGAGUGGCGUGGUGUAAUUGUGCACUAUAACAGCAAUGUAACAGAUACAGGAAGUACAGUGGGUUACAAACCACAAAUUGACUAUUACCUGGAAAAAAGCUAAAAGCUUUCAAAACAUGUGCAGAUUUAACGGAACACAAAGCAGGAUGAUGUACAAACCUUGAGGCAAGUUCAGAAAAGUGAAGGAAUUCCACAACAUCGCUGACACAGUGGAGCAGCCAAUCAGUGCAGUCGUUAACGUUUCAGCCAAUCAGAGCAGACCCAUCUCCUCUGCACUUGAAGGGCGGAAGAGAGCUAGGAUUAGAAGGAAUCAUGGACGGAGGUGGAAUAACAAGCAGUCAGGAACCUGAAGAGGAGCCUCAGACAGCAGGACCACAGCAGCAGGUCUCGUCUGACUGCAGCCCUCCAAGCAAGCAGUGUAAGAGGACCAAGCACAAAUGUCCCAUUUGUGGGCAACUGUAUGCUGACAUUAUCCAGCACCUGAGAAGCACGGAAAAGGUGGUCAAUAAAACAGAGCUCCUUCUUCUGAGCAAGACUUCUCAUCGACAUUUUAGGACAAAUCUGGACUGCCCAGUGCAUCUCUGCAAGUCCAAACAUAUAAACCGACUAGACAAGCAUCUGCAAAAGAUCCACCAUCUGAAGAACCCAAUGGUAAGCCUUUAUAUAGAAAAAGCUAAGGACAGGUACAUCGCGAGAGAACUGGCCCUCCUACGUGCGUCGAAACCCGUACCACCAAUGGUGUCUCAUCUGGACGAGGUCGAUGCUUCAGCCAUAGAAGAGGGUGUCAGGAGGGUGAUAGAGGCCAGAUCACAAGCUGCAGCGUCUGCCACUGUGCCUCCUCUUUCGGGCCCCCUCCGCAGUUCUCCCCCUGCCAGCCAGGCUUCCUGUGACCCAGAUAGACAAGCUCCAUCAACCAGCCAGGUUUGUGACCCAGAAACUGUACCAGCUGUGCAGGAUCCUUGCCAACAGGCCAAGCGAGGAAGAAGGCACUCUGUCGUGAGCACCCCUGAUCCUGGGUGCAGGAACUGCCAGCUUCUGUCUGCUGAGCUAAAGGUGGUGAAGGACCUGCUGGAGAUCGAAAUUGAAAGAAACGAUGAGCUGAAGCAGCUCCAUUGUUCCACAAUGCGUGCAACUGCAGCAAAACAUCGCAGACGUGCACCAUUUGACCCCAGCAAAGCCCCUCGCUAUGUAAGUUUGGUCGAGGAAUUUAGGAGCCACACAGAAGGUGCCAAUCCCAGUAGAAAAACUUCGGACAAUGCCAAGCAGCGAGGCAAACAUGUAAUCGAUUUUCUAAAGUACAUGGCAGAGCCAGGAUCCCCAAGUGUUGACCUUCUCUUCCUGCGUGACCAUGCUAGAGUCCGUGGUUUUGUUGAAGUCCUUCAGGGAAAAAGAUUUACACCAACCACUCAGAGGAGUUAUUUAAUGGAUGUUGUGGCCUUUUUGAAAUAUAUUUCAAACAUGGCCCCACUAGCCGUCAGAUUAGGAACGAAAAGAAUCAACUGCAUCCUGGUGGAGCUGAGGGCCCGGCUCAAAGACAUUGGCCGGGAUAUUGUCAGCCACCAGCUAAGUGUGAGGCGAAGGAAAUCUGUUGAGCUUGAGAAGCAUCCAGAGGACAGAGGAUCUCUUAAAGAGUUUUUUGGACUGCUGGCUGGGUACAUAAUUUCCACAACAGGCCACCGAAAGGGUGUUGUUGUUAACAUGACAACAAAGGAGGUCAAUGAGGCUGAAAAAACUACGCAGGGUGCCCGCAUCAUCCGUGUUGGACAGCACAAGACUCAGAGACACUUUGGUGAAGCAGCUGUACCCCUCAAUCCAAGUGAGUAUUCCUGGCUGCAGCGUUACAACCUGCUUCGACACAGCAUCGAAGGAGGCAAAGAGGCUUCAACCUUCUUUCACACGACCAGUGGAGGCGUUCUGCUGAGGCUGUCUGAAUAUUUCAAGGAGGCCUGGAAGCGGAUGGGCUUGGGGACACCCCCAACUUUCAACAUGCUUCGCUCCUCUGUUGCCACUUAUGCCAAGCGACACUUAGGAGACAGCGCAUACAAGAAGGUGGCAACAUUCAUGUGUCAUGAUGCCUCUACGGCCAAGAGAUUUUAUCACGCGGAGGACCCAGCAGAGGUCACGCUCAAAAGCAGAGAGUUGUCAAUGAUGGCAAUUUCCUCAUAUGCUGCGAAUGAGGGUAAUGCAGAACCGGAUCCUGAAGAGGACGAGGAAAAUGUGCCAAAAAGGACUUACCAGCUGCGUGAGAGAAGGACAUCUGAUGGGACAGAUAAACAGGAGGUCGAGUUCCCUUUCCAAAAAAGAGAGUGGUUGAGUUCUUCUGAGGGUGAUGGCUCUGCAGAUGAAUGGAAACCCACACAGAAGGAAUUUGAGGAUGAUUCUGAAGAAGAGGAGGAACAGGUCAUACAAAGCGUUCACACGGUGGCCAAAAGAAAGAGAUCUGUCCUGCAAAGAGAAGAAGAGUGCUCCUCUGGUCAGAAAACUACACAGGCGGAAUCGGAGGAGGAUUCUGAAGAAGAGGAGGAACAGGUCACACGAAGGGUUCACAAGAUGGCCAAAAGAAAGAGGUCUGAGAGCCCUGUCUGGCAAAGAGAGAUGCAGCCGGCUUUUGUAAGCCCAGGAACAGCAAAGAUGUUGACAACGCACUCAAAAAAAGUCAAUAUUGGGAAGAUUAUUUUCCACAAGUCACCCCUCUAUGAUGUCACCAUGCCAAUAUCUGGUGACAUCAUCAAACACCAGGCGGGAUCCACAGUCGGACAGAUGAUUCCCUUAGGAUCCGUGGGAGAAACAGUCUCCAAAGAGUUGCUGUUGGAGAAUGAAAUUUCAGUGGCAGACACAACAUUCGACAAGAACCUGUCUGAAGAAAGGGCGGGAGAAUAUAAAGGACAAGAAAAAGAAGGUGAAGUGGAUGAGGGCUCUUUAGAGAAGUCAAAGACUGAAGGUGAAGACAAAAAUAAGACAGAAAAUAAGAUAAAAGAAGGACGAAAUACAGAGAAAGAGACACAGGAAGACUCUUUUGAGAAAAUAGAGAGUAAGAGUGAAAAAAUAAAGAAGAGCGAAACAAAGAUUCAAGAGGAGUCCUUGGAGAAGAUGGAGAGUAAGAAUGAAAAUGGAGAGAAGAGAGAAACAAAGAUUCAAGAGAAGUCUUUGGAGAAGAUGGAGAGUAAGAGUGAAAGGGGAAAGAAGAGAGAAACAAGGAUUCAAGAGAAGUCUUUGGAGAAGAUGGAGAGUAAGAGUGAAAAGGGAAAGAAGAGAGAACCAAAGAUUCGAGAAGCUCCUUUGGUGAUGACGAGUAGUAAAGUUAAAAGGAGAUUCAGGAGUAGAGCAAAGAAAGAUGAGAAGCAUGUGGUGAUGAUGAGGAGUAGGGCUAAAGAAUUGCAAAGGAGAAAGCUAAAAGAGGAGCAUUUGGAGACGAGUGAGAGGGAAAGUGAAGAAGGAUCAAGUGGAACAGCACAAACCUGGAAGUCUUUGGAGAAGAUAGAGGGUAAGAGUGAAAAGGGAAACAAAAUAGAAACAAAGAUUCAAGAGAAGUCUUCGGAGAAGAUGGAGUGUAAGAGUAAAAAAGGAAAGAAGAGAGAAACAAAGAUUAAAGCGGAGUCUCUGGAGAAGAUGGAGAGUAAGACUGAAAAAGGAAAGAAGAGAGAAACAAAGAUUAAAGCGGAGUCUCUGGAGAAGAUGGAGAGUAAGACUGAAAAAGGAAAGAAGAGAGAAACAAAGAUUCAAAAGGAGCCUUUGGAGAAGAUGGAGAGCAAGACUGAAAAAGGAAAGAAGAGAGAAACAAAGAUUCAAAAGGAGCCUUUGGAGAAGAUGGAGAGUAAGACUGAAAAAGGAAAGAAGAGAGAAACAAAGAUUCAAAAGGAGCCUUUGGAGAAGAUGGAGAGUAAGACUGAAAAAGGAAAGAAGAGAGAAACAAAGAUUCAAAAGGAGCCUUUGGAGAAGAUGGAGAGUAAGACUGAAAAAGGAAAGAAGAGCGAAACAAAGAUUCAAAAGGAGCCUUUGGAGAAGAUGGAGAGUAAGACUGAAAAAGGAAAGAAGAGAGAAACAAAGAUUCUAAAGGAGCCUUUGGAGAAGAUGGAGAGUAAGACUGAAAAAGGAAAGAAGAGAGAAACAAAGAUUCAAAAGGAGCCUUUGGAGAAGAUGGAGAGUAAGAGUAAAAAAGGAAAGAAGAGAGAAACAAAGAUUAAAGCGGAGUCUCUGGAGAAGAUGGAGAGUAAGACUGAAAAAGGAAAGAAGAGAGAAACAAAGAUUCAAAAGGAGCCUUUGGAGAAGAUGGAGAGUAAGACUGAAAAAGGAAAGAAGAGAGAAACAAAGAUUCAAAAGGAGCCUUUGGAGAAGAUGGAGAGUAAGAGUGAAAGGGGAAAGAAGAGAGAAACAAAGAUUCAAGAGAAGUCUUUGGAGAAGAUGAUGAGUAAGAGUGAAAAGGGAAAGAAGAGAGAACCAAAGAUUCAAGAAGCUCCUUUGGUGAUGACAAGUAGUAAAGUUGAAAGGAGAUUCAGGAGAAGAGCAAAGAAAGAUGAGGACCAUGUGGUGAUGAUGAGGAGUAGGGCUUAAAGAAUUGCAAAGGAGAAGGCUAAAAGAGGAGGAUUUGGAGACGAGUGAGAGGAAAAGUGAAGAAGGAUCAAGUGGAACAGCACAAACCUGGAAGAUGCACUUUAAGAAAAGGAAAUUUCAAGAAUGACUGGAAGAAAGGAGAAAGCUGGAGGAAAUGGAAACUGAUCGAAACCUUUAGAAAAGGGGAAAAUUAAGCAUGUGCAUUAAAAUGUUCAGUUCAGAGUUCCUUGAAUUUGAUGUGAUCUAUAGAACUGGUCAACUUGCAAAAUAGUGGAAUUUGUUUUUCCCAAAGUCAUGAGUCCAGUAAUCCUAGCAUUCAAAUGUGUACAGGGUUUAGCUAAAGAGUUUUUUUGUAUCUAUUUUUCUAUAUUUGUCUGCUUUCCUAAUCGUGAAAAGCUUCACAGUAAAGAUUGGUCCAAAAGCCGUAUACUGUGUGUUCUGUGUUCAACAGUUCAGAAGAGUAAGGUAGUUUUUAUAUACUCCCACCAGUGAUGCAGGGAAGUAAACAUGUUGUUUUAUUUUUCAAAAUUUGCUCCAAUCAUGACCAGUCUUGACCCCAGGAAAGGGGGUAAACAUUUGUUGUUGUUCUCUUGGAUUACAGACCACUUUCUCAGUAUAGUAACACUAAAACAACUCCAACUCCAACUCCUACACCAGAGAUGCUCCUAUCUGGAAUCCAGAGAAUCCGCCUUGUAUUUCGAUUGUUAGUUCUUUCCAGGUGCUUGGGGGGUUAUGAGGAUCCCCAGUGCAGGGCCCUUGUUUGUCCUGGCCAUUCACAAGGCCAUUAAAUGCAUCUUCAUCCAACCUUACUCUAGAGAUACUGAGGGCCACCUGUUGGGGGGAGGAGCAUGACAUUUUGGAGAGGUUAAGCAUGACUCAAAAGUUUCAAGGGUCGUGAGAAGAGUAGUUGGGUUUUACAUCUAUUUAAUUUGAGGCUUAUUGUCAAAGACUUGAUCUGUUGCUCCUGUGUCCUCAUUUGGAUCCUGAAGCAGUAGGAAAUUUACAUUUUAACCAUGGUGGCUCAAUGCUGUAAAGAUCAAUAUAUAAUAAAUGUGUUUAUAUAUUAUAUUCAGUUACAUGAUCUGUAUCACUGUGUGCUCCUCGUUUGCUCCUCCCCUGAGUGGGACAGAGAAGUUAUGUGGGGAGGAGCGCAGCCCAGCUGCACGGUGCUCAUUAGAUAUGCAAAUGUAGCAUGACUACAUGAGGUCCUAAGUUAGCAUGAGGUCCUAAGUUAUUUCUAAAGCUACUUCCAGUAUGUUAGUCGCAGUCAACAUGCUUCCUGGAUAACAUGGUUGUAGACAUCUCAGGGAUCUCCUGGUUCAAGUUUCAGGUCUCUGUCUGCUUAGACCAAAUUAGUUCAAAAGGGAAGGCCUCAGUCAAGGUCAAAGGUCAUUGGAGACCACCCUCUCAGUAUAUACAUUUAAAAAAAAAAAAACAUCCUCUGCAACUUUGUCCCUUUGACAUAAAAAUGCACCGGCUGAUUCAUGAGCCCUCCAGGUCCUGGUACAUAAAAAGCUGAAAUUCACAGGACAUGGUCCUUGGGGGGGCCUAGAUCAUUUGUACACAUUUUGGUGGAUGAAGCAGCAAGGCUUGAUCAAGUGGCAGACUUUGCAAGUGUAUGACUGAGGCCUGUUCAGCCAAAUGUGGCUGAAUCGACUCACUGUCACAUUUGCUGUAAAGCAGAGGUCUAACUAGCUAAACAUUAGGACCCCUAAAUUGUCUGUCUGUCCCAACAGGAAGUGACCUAAUUUUGACCCCAAACUUCAGGAGGUCAUUUAGACCACCUUCUCAGUAUAUAAAGGCUAUAGCACCCAACAUACACCCUUAAGAUUCUUUAAUAAAGGUUAGAACCUCUGAACCAAGGUUAUAUUAAACCUGCUGGUCUUCAAUGGAAUAACAUUCUGCAGAAGUGAGGGCUUUUACUGCUGAGUUUUUACAGUAUCUCUAAUGACCAUGGCUCGUGUGCGUUUCUGUCAGCCGAGUACACCAACAAGUACAUCUCCAUCACUCAGGGUGAGUGACCUGAUCCCACAGGAUGUUUACUUAUGUACUCACCAAAAUAGGAGACUUAACAGACUGCUGACAGAGUGACUGCAGUCUGAAUGUGUUUCAGUUGAGAGCCACCAGACCUGAGUUGUUUACACUACCUCUGAGCCCUUAUGAGUCAACCCAGGGUAAGUCAGCCAACCUCUGACCCUGCUGUCGUCAGUGAGAGGGGGAGUGAAUGGGGAGUGAUUUACUUGCAAGUUUUUUUCUAUCAUAUAAGAGAAUGGUCACAUGCCCUACGUGAGUGUUUCACUUUUGUGUUGCUGCAGAAGAAACAUUAAAGAUGGAGUCACAAAGGUUUUAGUUUACUGUUCUGUUCCAAAUAGUAAAAUAAAGUUAGGACAUUUCAGAAUCAUAGAUUAAUGUUUUGAAAUUGUAAAUCUUCUUCUUUCACAUCGCUGUGUGCCUGACUCUCUUCAAAUAUGAGAUCAGAAUCAGAAUUCCUUUAAUGUCCCGUAGACCGGGAAAUGUGUAUGUUGCAACAGCAGAAUAUUACAAGACAGAGAAAUAGAAAAAUAGACAAAAAAAUGAUAAUUUUAUAUACAGAUUUUAUGUAAAGGUAAUAAAUAUGGGUGAUGAAAUGAGUUUGUACAGACUUAUUGCACAGUGCAGAGCAUGGGGUGAGGUCGAUAUGGAGCAGUGCUGGUUGUUAAGUCUGACAGCAGCAGGAAGGAAGGACCUGCGAUACCUCUCCUUCACACACUUGGGGUGUAUCAGUCUGUUGCUGAAGGAGCUGCCCAGUGCUGAGAUAGAGACCUGCAGGGGAUGGGACUCCUGCAUCAGCAGCGAUGACAGCUUGUCCAUCAUCCUGCUCUCUCCCACCACCUGCACUGGGUCAAGAGGGUAUCCCAGGAUGAAGCUGGCCUUCUUGAUAAGUUUAUCAAGUCUCCUCCUGUCUGCUGCUGAGAUGCUGCUGCUCCAGCAGACUACUCCAUAGAAAAUGGCUGAUGCCACCACAGAGUCAUAGAAAGAGGUCAGGAGUGCCCCCUGCACUCCAAAGGACCUGAGCUUCCUCAGCAGAUACAGUCUGCUCUGACCUUUCUUGUAUGUAGCUGCAGUGUGAUCAGUCCAGUCCAGUUUAUUGUUCAGGUGAACUCCCAGGUACUUGUAAGAUGUCACCAUCUCAAUGUCUGUUCCCAGGAUGUUCACCUUUGUGCAGGGUUGUCUGUGCCUGCGCAAAUCCACCACCAGCUCUUUGGUCUUCCCGGCGUUGAGCUGGAGAUGGUUCUGCUGGCACCAGUCCACAAAGUCCUUGAUGAGUUCUCUGUAGGCUCUGUCGUCCCCGUCCCUGAUGAUGCUGUAAGAAUACAUCAUUCUUAGAAUAUUAUAGCAUAUGCUUGUGCAUGUCUCUGUGUGUUUGAGGUUGUGUGUCUCUACGGAUGCAGGUCAAUUUGAUCCAGAGACCUGAAGGAUGUAAAUGUGCAGGGUAUGUGUGCUCAGACUUUUAUUUUAUUUGUUUCUUAUUCAUUUAUUUAUUUAUUUUGCAAUGUUUAUCACAGAAUAUAAUCUAAGGCCAUUGAGUUUCAGGUUGAAAGAAAUUAUACUAGUACCAUUUUUCUUGUGAAACACCAUACAAUAGUUAGCUAUCUUUGCCUCAGCCUCUGGCCAUCCAAACAGUAUAAGCGAUGGUAAAAACUCCUCUCCUGUGGAACCCACACUGUCCCAAGGCACCCACAAGGAGUGAGAAGAGACAGAAAGAUCGAAAGGGGGGACAGAGAGGUGGACGGGCAGACCAGGAGCAGCAAAAUGAAAUAAAAACCUCACUUUUCUGAUAGUCCGGUAACAGGUCUGAACA
rnacentral:lncRNA from 1 species